CCCGGUCCCGGGACUUCCGCGCAUCCAAGGUUCCCGCGGACCCGCUGCACCGAAUACCCGGGCCAGAGACACUCUGCGCCCGCGCUGGAUUCCACCCGCCCCGGCCACCUGCUGCUUUCCGCUCGGCCCCUCCUGGGAAACACUUUUGUUCAACUCUGCAUCUCCCUUUCUCAAACACUUUUAUGCAACUCCCGGACCAACCUUAGUUUGUGAAGGGGAAUUAAGCUUUUCCAACCUUGAAAGCCUUCAGAUUACGGGAUCCCCAGAUGCUAUGGAUGGCCAGCUCCAUAGGAAGAUGUCUUAAUGCUAUAGUCCUGGUAGAAAUGUGGUCAGCAUUCCAACGUAUGAUAGAAAAGAUUUUAAGCAGCUCUUUUGUUGCAACAUACAGAGGUCACCAACUUUCCUGCUUGGAGUAGCUUUAGCUCAACUUACAGAAACCCCAUGAAGCACAAUGCAGUGGAAACAGCAUGGAGCUGAAGGACGCCAGAUGACAUUCCAUCCCUGAUUCCACUCCUCAUCACCAAUGUCACCCUGGGCAAGGUACUCCAGCCCUGCUGCUCAGUUUGCUCCACUGUAAAAUAUGAAGAUAAUAUCUUCCAUGUAAGAUACUUGUGGUAUUAAAUGACAUCAUGUAUGGAAAUUAUAAAGAUAUUCUAUGAUUAAUAAGUACAAUUUGGCCAGGCAGUGAUUAGGCCUAUGUGUAUAA